rnacentral:rRNA from 1 species
CACGUAGGGCGCAAGCGUUGUCCGGAAUUAUUGGGCGUAAAGAGCUCGUAGGCGGUCUGUUGCGUCUGCUGUGAAAACCCAGGGCUUAACCCCUGGCUUGCAGUGGAUACGGACAGACUAGAGGUAGGUAGGGGAGAAUGGAAUUCCCGGUGUAGCGGUGAAAUGCGCAGAUAUCGGGAGGAACACCAGUGGCGAAGGCGACUACCUGGCCUGUUCUUGACGCUGAGGCGCGAAAGCUAGGGAGCAAACGGG